AAUCAGCCAGUUAUAUGAUCUAAAAGGUAAUGCUUUUGUACCAAAUUACUCCUGCCUACUGCGGUGCACUUUUUAACGAAGCAGCCAGUGCCACCGGGAUCCCGGACAGUUCUCGCGUGCCGUUCUCCACGUACAAAGCCAACGGCCCCAUCUGCAACUUUGCUAACUUAGUUGGCUUCCGCCCAGCAGGCCCCCGAAGCACAGUCACUGUGAAAACGUUUUGAUAACAGAAAAUCAUUUCCACGACAGUGCAAGUGUUCGAAAGUACAAAGGCAGACACUGUCUACCCGCGACAGUUCGCAAGUUGCGGUGGCGGCGCGGCUGCGCGGAGCGUGCGUGCAGGAUUCUCUCCCCAGCCAUUGUGGUUUCAUGCCUUUGUACAGGCAGUGACAACUAAGGCUGACUGCUGCUGGCUGACAGCGAUUGUGGGCUGUAGUAUGACUUCAGAAAUAUUCAAAUGAGGGUAGAGUAACAUGGAAAGCGGAAAGCAGCUUUUAUUCACUCCAAGGACAAUGAACUGACAUACAACGAAGGGCAGAAUAAGUCUCUAGAGGCUCUUCCAAAUUAUUUACUAGCUCGAGUCUGCUCCCUCAAAAGGAGCCUUAGUGCCUAACAAAAGUGACCAUCCAUACGUGUUCGGGAAAUAAGCAUGGGCUUUGAUAACUAGGCAGUUUGACUUUCUAAGUGUUUAGACAAGCCGAGUAUCAGGUGUGUCCUCCUAUGAGAACAUCCAAUUUAAAUAAACAUCAAGGGUUCAGAGUAGACAAAUCCGAAGGUAAUUGUUUGCUUUACAAAAGGUUCUUUCUAUAAGGUCAUCCACAAGAUGCUUCUUUUUAUUGACCUUUCCCACGGUAAUAAUUUGCAAAACUGUAAUUAGAUUCAAUCUUUUCCAAAAAUAUAUGUUUC